rnacentral:rRNA from 1 species
UACAGGAGGGGGCAAGCGUUGUUCGGAAUUACUGGGCGUAAAGGGCGCGUAGGCGGCCUGUUAAGUCGAACGUGAAAAUCCCCGGGCUCAACCCGGGAACUGCGUCCGAUACUGGCAGGCUUGAAUCCGGGAGAGGGAUGUGGAAUUCCAGGUGUAGCGGUGAAAUGCGUAGAUAUCUGGAGGAACACCGGUGGCGAAGGCGGCAUCCUGGACCGGUAUUGACGCUGAGGCGCGAAAGCCAGGGGAGCAAACGGG